AAACUUUAGCUAGGACAGACGUUUAGGUGGCACAAUUACACAGUUUGCUCCUAUGGAUAAAACUGAGCUUGUUAAAAGGAUACAAAUAAGCACUGGCACCGCCAUGGCCAUUCUUCCCACCUCUGUAUCCUUCUGCAUGAUUUUCUUAAUACGACCCUGUCCAGCAUAACACGAGGAAGUAAAUUAGGGAAGAAAUGAGGUUAAGGGCCCUAUUCAACAAAUUCGACACGUUCACAGUGCAUCCUCCUUUCCCGUGCCUAGACAUGAGCCCCUCAUCUGCUGUGCCAACCAACUAACCAAGGAGGACCCAGAGAUGGGCAGAUCAAAUACCUUCCGGCAUCCUCCUUUUCAGUGCGCAGACAUGAGCCCCUCUC